AACUAGUAGUAACACACUUUAAUCCAAUAAAAUAAUGCACUUUAAAAGUUAUAAUAAAAUGCAAAAUGAAAUAUUGGCUUCAAUUCAAGUACAUUUACAAACGUUAUAUGACUAACAGGGUAACGUGAGCUGUCACUCACAAGUUGAAAAAAAUUGACAACGCCAAUGUAAAAACGAAAAACAAACAAAAGACAAACAACUUACGUCGUUAGAUAUAAGAAGAUGUGGUAUUAGUGCCAAUGAGACAACGCUCCUUCCAAGUCAUUAUUUGUAAAAGUAAAACAUGUAUUGUCUUGAAUCUAUAUCUAUGAUGUCAAGUUCUUGAGUCGGUUUCACAAAAAAAAACUUUUACGAUUAAAAUUGUUCGCAAGUUAUGAACAAUUCAGUAUACUUACGAUCAAUCUUAGUCGCAAGUAUUUUUGUGAAAUCGACUGUCCUUUUCUU
rnacentral:lncRNA from 1 species